AUUGAUCAUGGCUCAGAGUGAACCGCUGGCGUUAUGCCUAACACAUGCAAGUCGAACGGCAGCACAGGAGAGCUUGCUCUCUGGGUGGCGAGUGGCGGACAGGGUGAGGAAUACAUCGGAAUCUACUCUGUCGUGGGGGAUAACUGUAUGUGGAAACUUACAGCUAAUACCGCAUACGACCUACAGGGUGAAAGCAAGGGAGACCAUUCUGUGAGCCUUGCGCGAAUUGAAUUGAAGCCGAUAGAUCGGGAAUUAGCUAGUAUGGCAGGAGGUAAACGUGCCCAACCAAAUGGACGAACUGAUUCCAGUACGACGUGGGUCAUGAUGAGAUGAUGAUUCAA
rnacentral:rRNA from 1 species